rnacentral:rRNA from 1 species
UACGGAGACCUCGAGCGUUACUCGGAUUCACUGGGCGUAAAGGGUGCGCAGGCUGAGACGUGUGUCAGGUGUGAAAUCCCAGGGCUCAACUCUGGAACUGCGCCUGAAACUGCGUUUCUUGAGACUUGGAGAGGUAAGCGGAAUUUGUGGUGUAGCGGUGAAAUGCGUAGAUAUCACAAGGAAGACCAACUGCGAAGGCAGCUUACUGGACAAGAACUGACGCUGAGGCACGAAAGCGUGGGUAGCGAAAGGG